CCUACGGGAGGCAGCAGUGAGGAAUAUUGGUCAAUGGCCGUAAGGCUGAACCAGCCAAGUAGCGUGAGGGAAGACUGCCCUAUGGGUUGUAAACCUCUUUUAUGCGGGGAUAAAGGUGUCCACGUGUGGAUUUUUGCAGGUACCGCAUGAAUAAGGACCGGCUAAUUCCGUGCCAGCAGCCGCGGUAAUACGGAAGGUCCGGGCGUUAUCCGGGUUUAUUGGGUUUAAAGGGGGCGUAGGCCGGUCUUUAAGCGUGCCGUGAAAUUUUGGGGCUCAACCAUGGGAGUGCGGCGCGAACUGGAGACCUGGAGUGGGCGGAAGGCAGGCGGAAUUCGUGGUGUAGCGGUGAAAUGCUUAGAUAUCACGAAGAACCCCGAUUGCGAAGGCAGCCUGCCGCAGCGUUACUGACGCUGAAGCUCGAAAGCGCGGGUAUCGAACAGGAUUAGAUACCCCUGUAGUC
rnacentral:rRNA from 1 species